GACGAACGCUGGCGGCGUGCUUAACACAUGCAAGUCGAACGAGAAUCUAUGGAAAGAGGAUUCGUCCAAUUGAAAUAGAGGACAGUGGCGGACGGGUGAGUAACGCGUGAGGAACCUGCCUUUCAGAGGGGGACAACAGUUGGAAACGACUGCUAAUACCGCAUAACGCGUAGAGGUCGCAUGGCCUUUACGCCAAAGAUUUAUCGCUGAAAGAUGGCCUCGCGUCUGAUUAGCUAGUUGGUGAGGUAACGGCCCACCAAGGCGACGAUCAGUAGCCGGACUGAGAGGUUGAACGGCCACAUUGGGACUGAGAUACGGCCCAGACUCCUACGGGAGGCAGCAGUGGGGAAUAUUGGGCAAUGGGCGCAAGCCUGACCCAGCAACGCCGCGUGAAGGAAGAAGGCUUUCGGGUUGUAAACUUCUUUUGUCAGGGACGAGCAGAAGACGGUACCUGACGAAUAAGCCACGGCUAACUACGUGCCAGCAGCCG
rnacentral:rRNA from 1 species